rnacentral:snoRNA from 1 species
GCAGAGCGGCCGGGUCAGACUGCAGAGCCGUUCCUUGUUGCCUUCCUUCUGAGA